rnacentral:lncRNA from 1 species
UCCUUUUGGAGCCCAUGACGCAGGUCCAGCUGGGAAUAACAAAUGAAUUUAUGAGGCCAUAAAUGGAAACUGGAGGAUGUAUAUUUGAAACGAGGUCCCCAACGAAGUAGACAGCACACUCCAAUUUAUGCAUCUGGCACAACUCGUGAAAUUGCACUUCCGUUUUUCGUUUUCAUACCUUGAAAUAGCCGAGUCCUUACCCAUUGCAUCUCUUACACAGUCUGUGCGACGGAAACUUGAGCCUCCCUCUGACUUUUUGCUUAACUGAGGCAGUAACUGAGGGCUGUACUUGGGGGCCAGAGGAUCUUCUGUGCGUCAAAUCAGGCUUGUUGUUAGCAUGAUAUUAAACAUGCUCUUACGGGCUCCACUAUGGAAAGAAAAGCUAAUGACCAUUUAUUUGCAAACCUAGGGAGAUGUUGGCUGAGAAAGACCAAGACCACAUAUGUCAAAGUACUCUCUGAAAAAUAUUUCAUCAUGGUGUAAUUGAGGCUUUAAAAGAUGCUAUUAAGGGACUGGCCUGGUGGUGUAGUCGUUAAGUUUGCACACUCUGCUUCGGCAGCCCGGGGUUCGCAGGUUCAGAUCCCAGGCAUGGACCUACACACUGCUCAUCAAGCCAUGCUGUAGCAGCGUCCUACACACAAAAUAGAGGAAGAUUGGCACAGAUGUUGGCUCAGGGACAAUCUUCUUCAAGCAAAAACAAAAAGAGGAAUAUUGGCAACAGAUGUUAGCUCAGGGCCAAUCUUCCUCACCAAGACAAAAAAACAAAAAAACAAAAAACUGUUAAAAUCAUAGCUCCAGAAAGACACAGAUGUUUUUACUUAGCCACUCCUGCUCUGAAACUGUCCUUUUUUAAGCUUUUUUCAGUUAAAUCCCUUGAGUGUGACUUUCUGCUGGGACACUGACGAAUAUGGAGUGCAUGUCUGCAUGCGUGUGGGAUGACCAUGACAGAGUAGACAAUGAGACACGGCCUCGUCCUCUUUUCCUCACACUUCCUGUGGUCAUUAAGUGGCAGAAAGACAUCACUUUGAAGUCAUUAUACUUCCAACAUUUGGACCUAGAUGGCAAGUGUUUUUGGCCGUUAUGAAUCAACUCUUCAAAAAGACUGAGAGCCAGCUGCAUAUGGAAGGAAGGGGACAAGUGUUCGACUUUGUGAGUUCAGCAUAAUAGAACCAGGCUCUGCUGCUGAAGAGAGAGGUCAGAUGUCAUCUUUGAAGAGCUUCCCAUCUCAUUUACUGCGUGUCAUUGAGCAAGUCACUUUACCUCCACACCCUCAGGGGCCUCCUAUGUAAAAUAAGUAAUAAAUCCACUUGGCUUUCUCA